CCGUUCGAUGACGUCAUCACAAAAUGUAUCCAAGUAACGAAUGACGUCACCGUUUUGUGUGUACAUAGCAAGUGUCAACACCGACCGCUACUCGCACUUUUUUAUUAAAAAUGAUGACAAAACAAGUAAGUGCUAUUAUUUAUUGGACGAUUGCCAUUGAGGAACAAACACGCAAUUGGUUCGGCAUGUACUCAGAUAUCCAAGGUGCCUGAACCACGUGACUUUUUCGGCUAUGUGUGGGACAAUCGGAUGUAAACAAAACGUCGCUUCAGUGUGGCAGAGAGGUCAAAACACGGUCGGGGAUCUCCUAACACAAAGCCACCCACGCACGGACAGGAAAAAGUUCCGUCGGGCAAACUUUUUCUUGUUUGUUUCUAUAAAAUUGAUUGUUACAAAAUGUUGAAUUUUCAGUGAAUUGUUACUGCCGACUAAUGCACUUGUUUAAUACACAAAAUCGUAAGGAUUAUUUGUGCAAGAUGUCAUGUGAAUAUUAUUGCAACAAAACUACAAAAAGUGUUAGUUGUGUGUUUUUUAGCAGGAAUGUGUAGGCAUUUUUUACUGUAACCAAUUUAAUAAAUAAGCAUAAAGAGAUCAUACAGCAUUUUUAAACAAAUAGACACUAGGAUCAAUGACAUUUUUUUCUGGAAAAUCAUGUAUUUGUAUGUAAAUCCUAUUGAGCUAUCUGAUAUAUCACACAUGCUAUUUUUUAAGUUUAACAGUUUAUAUCAGUUGUAUUUUGUUCUUUUCAGGGAGAUUAAAGUAUUUUUGGAAGCACCUUCAAGAGACGUACUGAUAUCUUUAUCAAUGAAAAGUUGUCAUACAAACAUGUAUAGUAAAUGUUCCAAAGUUUAAAUGACUCUUUGAUUUAUUACCAGAUGGUGCAAGUAUUGCAGGGAAAGAAAACAAUCAAAAUAAACAUUACAUAAAAAUUUGACAUUUCAACAAAUUGAACAACAUUAUAUGAUUUAAUGUUAAUUACUUGGUGCAGUGGUAACAAGAUCUUGCAGCGCCCUUUCAUGACCGGGGCGAAUGAGUAUUUUCAUUAAACAUCUCAAACUAUUGUCAGUUAUUCAACUUUCAUUUGAAUUUGAGUAAAUUAAGUAUUGAUGCAAUUCAAUAUGUUUGUUGGUAUAAUGACCCCCACAAUAUAAAGAAGUGAAACUCCAGCUGCUGGAGCAGUAUUGAAUUUUCAUUAAAAACAAUUAGUUGGUCCUUUAUUUAAGGCAAGUGACCGAUUGCCCAAACAGUACAAAACAGCACAAUACAGCACAAUACAAACCAACAUAAACACAAAAUAUGAAUAAAGCUGGGGUCACCGCCUUGGAACGGUCAAUGCAAAGCACUGGGGGUUUAAACCUGGUUAUAGAGCGCUCAACCUCACACUUGGCCCAGCAAUAUUCAUAAUACAUUGAAGUGUAAAUAAAAUUUAACGUCAUAGCAUUGUAACCCACAAGUCAAGACGUUUUGGCGAUGAUCAUUUGUUAUGACUUAAUUGAAGCAUUCAUAUGUUUGAAUAGCAAGAUUUGCAAAUUCAUAAAUUGACUGAUUACAAUUUCUUUGUGAAUACUAAUGUACUUCUUUAUGUAUUUGGCGCUUUAAUUUCUAUUGUUACAUGUGCAUGCUAGUUAUAAAGUAAUGGUAUUAUUAA